rnacentral:rRNA from 1 species
ACGCUGGCGGAUGCUUUACACAUGCAAGUCGAACGAGUACUUUUUACGAGUGGCGAACGGGUGAGUAACGCGUGGGAACCUACCUUGAGGUAAAGAAUAACUACAGGAAACUGUAGCUAAUACUUUAUGUGCCCUACGGGGGAAAAAUUUAUUGCCUUUUGAGGGGCCCGCGUCAGAUUAGCUUGUUGGUGAGGUAAUGGCUCACCAAGGCUAUGAUCUGUAGCUGGUUUGAGAGGAUGAUCAGCCACAUUGGGACUGAGACACGGCCCAGACUCCUACGGGAGGCAGCAGUGGGGAAUCUUGGACAAUGGGGGAAACCCUGAUCCAGCAAUUCCGCGUGAAUGAUGAAGGCCUUAGGGUUGUAAAGUUCUUUUAGUAAGGAAGAUGAUGACGGUACUUACAGAAAAAGCUCCGGCUAACUCCGUGCCAGCAGCCGCGGUAAUACGGAGGGGGCAAGCGUUGUUCGGAAUUACUGGGCGUAAAGAGCGAGCAGGUGGUUCAUUAAGUCAAUUGUGAAAGCUCAAGGCUUAACCUUGAAAUUGCUUUUGAUACUGAUGAACUAGAGUUUGGGAGAGGAUAGUGGAAUUCUAAGUGUAGAAGUGAAAUUCGUAGAUAUUUAGAGGAACACCGAUAGCGAAGGCAACUAUCUGGCCCUUUACUGACACUCAGAAGCGAAAGCUUGGGUAGCAAACAGGAUUAGAUACCCUGGUAGUCCAUGCUGUAAACGAUGAGUGCUAGAUGUUAGAAGUUUACUUCUAGUAUCGAAGCUAACGCGUUAAGCACUCCGCCUGGGGAGUACGGCCGCAAGGCUAAACCUCAAAAUGGAAUGAGG